CCUACGGGAGGCAGCAGUGAGGAAUAUUGGUCAAUGGGCGGGAGCCUGAACCAGCGAAGUCGCGUGAAGGAAGAAGGUACUUAGUAUUGUAAACUUCUUUUGUCGGGGAACAAAGGCGGAGACGCGUCUCCGGAUGAGUGUACCCGAAGAAAAAGCAUCGGCUAACUCCGUGCCAGCAGCCGCGGUAAUACGGAGGAUGCGAGCGUUAUCCGGAUUUAUUGGGGUAAAAGGGUGCGCAGGCGGGAGAUCAAGUCAGCGGUAAAAUGUCGGGGCUCAACCCCGGCCGGCCGUUGAAACUGGUUGUCUAGAGUUGGAGAGAGGUAUGCGGAAUUCGUGGUGUAGCGGUGAAAUGCAUAGAUAUCACGAAGAACUCCGAUUGCGAAGGCAGCAUACCGGCUCCAUACUGACGCUGAGGCACGAAAGCGUGGGGAUCGAACAGGAUUAGAUACCCGAGUAGUC
rnacentral:rRNA from 1 species